CUCCGCCUAUGUGCCAGAAGCGAGUAUCUUACGGGAUAUCCGACAGAGCUUUAGGCAAAGGAAUCAGGAUCCAUGUUGCGCAUUGUUCAAUGCCAGCAAAAAACAUAAACAGAUGGGCUGCGGUAAGUAAGGAGAUUUUCUCCUGAAAAUCGCAGUCUAUC
rnacentral:ncRNA from 19 species